UCUGAUGCACGUUACAUGCACAUGCACGUACGUGCCUGUCCCUGACAUGGCUGCACAGAGGCUCUAGCGCCUCCAACCAGGGGAGCCCCUGCAGCUCGUGCGACCAUCACGCCCAAGGUGGCGGCGCCACGCACUAGUGCAACCCUACUGUAUUUGCUGACAGUAACACUGCCACCAUGACCGCUACAUCAAUCCAGCACAGCUCCUAGCACCACAGAGCCAUCCUACGUCUAGCGCUGUCUACACAAUGGUUCGGGCGCCGCGGCGGUGUGCCCUGCGAGCACAUACACAUAGCGCCGGAUGUAGAGGCACGUACGCAUGAUUGCGGUGCUACAAGGGGGGACAACCCGAGCAUGCAGUGUGCACCCAGGGGCUAUGCGGGCUGCAUCCGGCAAACUCCAUUGCAUGCACCACAUAGACCCUGCCAACAGUCCAACACCCUUGUUCCGCACCUGCUGAGCAAUACCUACAAAAUACCAGCGAGUAGACAGCAGGGGGAGCAGCGACUCUGAAC
rnacentral:lncRNA from 1 species